rnacentral:rRNA from 1 species
UACGAAGGGGGCUAGCGUUGCUCGGAAUCACUGGGCGUAAAGGGUGCGUAGGCGGGUCUUUAAGUCAGGGGUGAAAUCCUGGAGCUCAACUCCAGAACUGCCUUUGAUACUGAAGAUCUUGAGUUCGGGAGAGGUGAGUGGAACUGCGAGUGUAGAGGUGAAAAUUCGUAGAUAUUCGCAAGAACACCAGUGGCGAAAGGCGGCUCACUGGCCCGAUACUGACGCUGAGGCACGAAAGCGUGGG